rnacentral:lncRNA from 1 species
CUUUCCUUCUCAGAGCCUCUUAUAAAACAGUGUCUGUACUUUCUUUUUUCUUCUUUUCUUUUUUCUUUCUUUCUUUCUUUUUUUUUUUCUAAUACACGGUUUCGCUCUCUAACCUGGACUGGAGUAAAGUGGCGUGAUCUUGGCUCACUGCAAACCUCCACCUCCCAGGCUCGCGUGAUUCUCCUCCUCAGUCUCCUGAGUAGUUGAGAUUACAGGCACACGCCACUACCGCCCAGGGAAUUUUUGUAUUUUUAGUAGAGACGGGGUUUCGCCAUGUUGGCCAGGUUGGUCUCGAACUCCUGACCUCAAGUGAUCCACCCGACUUGGCCUCCCAAAGUGCUGGGAUUCCAGGCAUGAGCCACCGCGCCCGGCCACCAUCUGCAUUUUCUGACUCUGUUUCCUCAUCUGUCAUUUACUCUGUAGUCAAGCCCACCUGUCUUCUCUGCUCACCACUCUACAGACAUGCCCUUGACGAGGGAACCAACAACCUUACUGUCAGUCAAAUCCAAAUGCAUCUUCUCUUUCUGCAUCUUACUUGACCUCAGCAGCCCUUGACUCGGCUGAGCACUUCUUCCUCCCUUCUUUCUCCUUUCUUUGCUUUCAGACUAUCUCAGUCAGCUCAGGCUGCUAUAACAAAGAUACCACAGAUUGGGUGGCUCACACAAAAGAAAUUCAUUUCUCCCAGUUCUGGUGGCUGGAAGUUCAAGAUCAAGAUGCUGGCUGAAUCAGUUCCUGGUCUUGUAUACCAGUGAAACUACUGAUGCCAGCUGGUCUAGAGGAAUCCAAGAGAAGCUGAUUCACCAAAGAAGGCUGUUUCCAGAUCAUGAUGAUUUCAUCCAUCCUACCUUGACCAAUCAAUGAUCCCAAUUUUCCAGUUACUUGCCCUCUACAAUCCCCUUAAAAGUCCCAGCCCAGAACUUCUCAGGGAGAUGGAUUUGAGGGUCCCUCCCAACUCCUUGCUUGGUUACCCUGUGAUCAUUAAACUCUUUCUCUGCUGCAAACCCUGUUGUCUUGGUGUAUUGGUUUGUUCCAGUGCAAUGGGCAUAUGAACUCGUUGGUCCUGUAACAAACUCUGCUGUUGUAGCAUGAAAGCUGCCAUAGAUAAUACAUAAAUGAACAUGUGUAGCUGUAUUC